GACGAACGCUGGCGGCGUGCUUAACACAUGCAAGUCGAACGGAAAGGCCCUGCUUUUGUGGGGUGCUCGAGUGGCGAACGGGUGAGUAACACGUGAGUAACCUGCCCUUGACUUUGGGAUAACUUCAGGAAACUGGGGCUAAUACCGGAUAGGAGCUCCUGCUGCAUGGUGGGGGUUGGAAAGUUUCGGCGGUUGGGGAUGGACUCGCGGCUUAUCAGCUUGUUGGUGGGGUAGUGGCUUACCAAGGCUUUGACGGGUAGCCGGCCUGAGAGGGUGACCGGCCACAUGGGGACUGAGAUACGGCCCAGACUCCUACGGGAGGCAGCAGUGGGGAAUAUUGCACAAUGGGCGGAAGCCUGAUGCAGCAACGCCGCGUGCGGGAUGACGGCCUUCGGGUUGUAAACCGCUUUCGCCUGUGACGAAGCGUGAGUGACGGUAAUGGGUAAAGAAGCACCGGCUAACUAAG
rnacentral:rRNA from 1 species